CUGAGAUGCUUCCUCUUAUAAUUUGGGAUCAACGUUUUACAUGCGAGAUCGAAAUGAGAUAUCAGACCUCGCAAUGGUUGGGAAAUUUCUUACAAGUUACUUACCUCUUGGAUGAUAUCUUGAUACUUUGCAAAGCUGUCUGAAGCAGAGUGGAGUUUUGCGUUAAUGAUAUGAUCAGCAAGCAAGAAUACUUAAUUAAACUAGAUAAUAACCCGCGCCUUGCGCGGGAUGUGAUUAUUAGUUUCGUUAUCUAUCUAUAUAUAUAAAAAAAUGUUCGUAUCUCUCCUAUUGAAACACGUCAGCGCCAGGUCAGAAAGUCGAGUCAUAUAGUCUCGACACGUGUCCUCUUUCUAAAUGCUCCGUUUCAUUUAAAUCAGAGCGUGAUCGUAUGGGCUUUACAUGUUAACAGACCGUAAUGUUAUUUUAUUAGCCCAGUCCGACAAGGUUAACAUGUAUGAAUAUCAAAAUGCAACGUUUUUGCUAUUAGAGUUAACCCAUCUCACAUUCACCGUUGCAGACGAAAACUCGAUCUUGGGUUCCGACUGUGAUGUUUCACCUUCUUCUUUAUCAUUCCGUCAGAUACACGAUCCUGAUCAUCUUCCCGUUUGAGAGAAACUGGAAACGUUUUCUGGUUACGCUCAAGCGAAGAGUCGUCUACAAUUGAGGCAUCAACUAUUGACGGUCUAUCAUUCAUUGCUUUCCCAUUUACUGCGAUCAUCAUAAUCUUCAGCUAUAAAAAGGUAUGUUUUGCCCCAUGAAAUUCAUCCGUUCUUUCUUCUCAUUCAUAAGCUUUUUAAGAAAUAUACCUUUGAAAAUGGCUAACCCCUCUGUCCUCUUUGCCGAUUGAAAGCCGGCGGUUGUCCCUCCACCGUCGAUGUCCGCCUGCUUAGUUUUUGGGAAAUCAGGAGUGUGAAGUGCGGCGGCGAGCUAAUGGGGUUCACAUGCUCCUCCUCGAAGCUCAGGUAAAUCCACCGUCAAAAUCAUUAUGUAUUUGGGAGAUGAUAAUUGUUUUGUUUGUUGAUUAUAUUUCGCGUUCUUCAUGUAUUGAUUAUUAUACUUUUAAACCUAACUUUUCUUAUAAUGGAGAUCCAUUUGUUCAUGUCUUCAUUAUAAAAAAAAAACAAUUUCAGAAGCUUCUGUUAUCUUAAAAUAAUUGGACAAUGAUUAUUGUUUUGUCUGUUGAUUCUGUUUCGCUUUAUUCAUAAAUUCAUUAUCAAGCUUUUAAUCCAAACAUUCAGUUCGAUUGGGAUCCAUUUGUUUAUUUCUUGAUUAUCAGAAAAUCUUCCUCGAAGUUUCUUUUAUAUAGUUGAUGAUGAAAUUGGCGAUCUUUAUAUGGCUUAAAACAUUAUUUUGAGGAGUUAGAGGAAGAGUCCCCAAAGGAUUACUCCGUCGUAGUGUAUGUGUUACUUGACGAGCUUCGCCGUAACCAACGAAGUUGAAAACACCGACUCUGACCAGACAUUAGCGUGACGACCAUUCGCAUUGACAAGAAGGUUUUCACUGUCAAAUAAACACCAGUCAUUGACUUACCGAGAGAUAUUGAAGCUGAGAUGAGAAGAUGAAGGCUUGAACUUAGGCAAACCAUGGACAUGUACAGCUCAGUGUCGAAAGAAGCACUUAAUACAAAAGGACGGUUAGAAAUAUAGGUGUCAAGCAGGGAUAGUUGAUGAUGAGCAAGCUGCUCCGUCUAAAACUUUAUGACUCCCAUGUUUCUCUUGAAAAAUUAGCAUAAGCUGUGGAGAAUGUAAGAAGCUCGAAGAUUUGAGGAAGCUAGGAGUGCCGAGGCGACAGUCCUGGCUAUUCCAAAGAUGGAGAAGGCCAAGUCUAGAGCUACAAUGGAAGCAUGUGAGAAAGCGCAGAUGAUGGUGGAACUAGAAGGAAGCAAGCUGAAAUGAAAAAAAAAAAAGAAGAGAAUCGCACGAGAAAUACAGUGGUUUAAUUCUUUCGUACAUAACGAUGUCUGGUACAAAAGAUAAACUUGAUCACAACCCUAUUGCCAUUAGUCUUUCGCUUUCGUAUGUGUCCUGCUUAUGGGUAUUUGGUGUAUGAGUUCAUGGAAAAUGGAAAAUGGGAGCUUAGAGGAAAGGCUUUCAAAAUAAAUUA